rnacentral:ribozyme from 1 species
UUUUUUUUUUUUUUUUUGUUCUUCUUGUUUGGAAAGAUAAAACAACCUUAAAAAAAGAUGGGGUGUGUUGGUGCUAAACCCGAAGAAGAGGAAGAUAA